AGUAAUAUAUCGGAACGUGCCCUAGAGUGGGGGAUAACGUAGCGAAAGUUACGCUAAUACCGCAUACGAUCUACGGAUGAAAGCGGGGGAUCGCAAGACCUCGCGCUCAUGGAGCGGCCGAUAUCUGAUUAGCUAGUUGGUAGGGUAAAAGCCUACCAAGGCGACGAUCAGUAGCUGGUCUGAGAGCACGACCAGUCACACGGGCACUGAGACACGGGCCCG
rnacentral:rRNA from 1 species